AUGAUCGAAGUAGGGGAUUUUGGAGAGAUUCUAUCGGACGACACAGUGCAUGCUCUGCAACUCUUGGACCCGCCUAUCGCCCACAAGCCUGAAUGUUGUGCAAUUUCGCAACAUGCAGUUUCAGGAGAAGAAGCCCCAUCUACCACUCGCCCGCGCGCACAAGUGGGAGAUCAGUACAUGCUGUUGUUAGUGGAUUCGGACAGCUCACACAGUUUCAUCAGUGACUCCUUUGUGCAAUGCGUGUCAGCAAAAACAGAGGCCUUACCACCAGUGUCAGUUCAAGUGGCAAAUGGGCAACGGCUACACUGCAACAAGAUCGUUCGGCAACUGGGAUGGUAGGUACUUGGACACAUGUUUCACACAGAUUUCAGAGUACUGCCACUGGGAGCAUACGAUGGAGUCCUCGGCAUGGAUUGGUUGGCCUCACACAGUCCCAUGAACUGCCAUUGGCAAUUGAAGACGAUCACGUUCCAAACUGAAGGGAAGACAGUACACCUUCAGGGCGUCAGAACCUCAGAUCUUCCACCAAUCACAGAAUUGGAUGUAUAUGAACUUCAUCGCAUGGAAGUGGCCAACGACAUCUGGACUGCAGCCCUGGUUACAGUUGAGUGGGUAGAUAAAGCAGUCCCGGAACCAAUUCCACCAAAUAUUCAGAAAGUGUUGUCCGAAUACAAGGAUGUGUUCGCCGAACCCUCCAUGUUACCGCCUGGUCGACAGUAUGACCAUGGUAUUCACCUUGAACCAAGCAUUGUUCCUAUCAAUACCAAGCCAUAUCGCUACUCACCUGCUCAGAAGGACGAGAUUGAGAAGUAG
rnacentral:rRNA from 1 species